UUAACUAAUUUAGCUAGUUUCUCAGACUGCAACUUCAGACAGUGUUCACAGGUGUCUUCGGCGGGCGCGGGCCCGGGGGCGGAUGCCCCCCGGCGGCCGUGAGGCGGGCCCGCCGAAGCAACAAGGUUCGUUAAACACGGGUGGGAGGUUGGACCCAGAGGGCCCUCACUCGGUAAUGAUCCUUCCGCAGGUUCACCUACGGAAA
rnacentral:misc_RNA from 1 species